AACCUAUAACGUGUCCUUGCAUGUGUGUAGUUUAAUCUUGUGCCAACCUAGACUUGGAGUUUCUCGUGCAUCAUUUAGAAGGAUGGUGUAUGAAUAUAUUAUUGGUACACGUUCAUUCAACACCAGUAAUAAUAGGAAGACACUUUGGUGUGUUGUUAGUCGAGACAAAUCCACUCCCUCCCGGGCGUUUCGUGAUUCAUUUCCAAUAUUGGCUAAGGUGAGCUUGCCGAGUAGUUGGAUAUCUGGACGGUUUGGUGUCUUUGGGAUGAUCGUAUUUUAUUUCGGUAUUAACUAAUGACUUAUACGAAUUUUACAUUCGAUUUAUUUGAUAUAUUUUUAUACUUCAAUUCAAAAAUGUAUUCUUUUUGAAAUUCUUUUAUUAAAUGUUAUGUUAUUUUGUUCGAUUUUGAAUAAUUCGGUUUAAUUCGAUAUUUUACCGUAAGUAACACGCCGUUCUCUUUAUAGGAGGUGUUCUCUUUAUAGGAGGUGACGAGUGUUACAGUAAGGUGUGUUUAACCCAAACAGUAGAUGAUUAAGCAAUGCCUGCUCACUUCUCUGCUGGCAGCUGAGAGAAGCAAUUAUUAUAUUUUGUAAGAAAAAAUUUAAUGAGGCAGAUAUUCAAGUAACAUGAUUAGUUGUCAAAGACGACAAUCAAUUAAGGCCGGUCACGAGUUUCUCGUUGUGCAAAGGGCUGAGAGAAACGGAACUAAAUAUUUAGAUCCGUGGGGACUCUGUUAUAUACUCUCGAGAUUUGUUUUUUGCCAACAACUUAUUACUUCUAUUGUUAGGUACACAAUCACGUUGAUCAUUAUUGGAUACAAUUAGAGACGCCAUGACCAUACCCUCCAUAACCUUUUACUAAUUAAAGCUAUGACUAUUUUUUUAUUAUCUACUAUACUACUUCCUCUAUAACACUCGGUCACCAUAAAUUAGAGCAAAGCAAAAAAAGAAAGAAAGAUGAGGAUAGUGUUACGUUUCCCCAAAAUAAGGGGUACAAAAUAGUAUAUAUAUAUUUAGACGGGAAGAUGGGGUCAAAGAACACGUGGAGAAUGUAGAUGAAUAACGAAGACUAAAUCAUACUCCCUUCCAAUAUGAAUGUAAAAUGUUUUAUAUUUUUAUUUUGUAUACAAAUAUAUGAUGUUUUGAGAUAUAAUUAAUAUAUUUAUUUUUAAAAUUUAAACAUAAAUUAAAAAGUAAAAUUAUGAAUGAUGAAACUUUAUUGAUAUAAUCAAAAAGUAAUAUUUAAAAUAGUGUAUUUAUUAUUUUUUAAUAUGUAUGUAAAACUUUAAAUAUUUUAUAUUUAAAUUCAGAGGAAGUAAGUACGAAACAGACAUAGGUGUAAUGGUCAUACCUUGCAACUAACAACAGCUUUUGUUAUAAAUUUCUUUCUAUCUGCUACUUAAAAAAGGAGUUCAUUAUAUUUUUAUUUGUUUCAAAGUAUAUUGUAAUCGUCCACUUUAUACUAUAGAAACAAUCUUUUUGUUAUGUCUAUUCUUUUCCAAUAAAAUUACUUAUAAAAACCAAAAAGUAACAAAAGGAUCCACCAUUAGAUUAGAGAUCGGAUCUGCAAUAACUACAUGGUGGAUACAAGUUUCAAUUCAAGGGAAAAGAAAAUUUAUGGAUUACCACACAAAAAGCUGAUAAUUAAUUAUUUUUAAUAUAAAUCCGAUCUGCAUGCAUGUCGGUUGUAACAAACGCUAACAUAUUAAGCAAACAAACAAAACUUGGACUAUAGAUCACAGUUAUUAUACAGAGAGUAGCUCUUAAUUAACUACGAUUCUAAUUCAGUAAAAACAUCAGACCAUUUUAGCAAAAAAAAAAAAACAUCAGACCAUGCAAAUA